UACGAAGGGGGCUAGCGUUGCUCGGAAUUACUGGGCGUAAAGCGCACGUAGGCGGCUUUCUAAGUCGGGGGUGAAAUCCUGGAGCUCAACUCCAGAACUGCCUUCGAUACUGGAGAGCUUGAGUCCGGGAGAGGUGAGUGGAACUGCGAGUGUAGAGGUGAAAUUCGUAGAUAUUCGCAAGAGCACCAGUGGCGAAGGCGGCUCACUGGCCCGAUACUGACGCUGAGGCACGAAAGCGUGGGGAGCAAACAGG
rnacentral:rRNA from 1 species